UUGAAUUGUGGUCUAGACAUCUUCUG
rnacentral:piRNA from 1 species